UACGAAGGGGGCUAGCGUUGUUCGGAAUCACUGGGCGUAAAGCGCACGUAGGCGGAUGUGCCAGUCAGGAGUGAAAUCCCGGAGCUCAACUCCGGAACUGCCUCUGAUACAGCACGUCUUGAGUUCGAGAGAGGUGGGUGGAAUUCCUAGUGUAGAGGUGAAAUUCGUAGAUAUUAGGAAGAACACCGGUGGCGAAGGCGGCCCACUGGCUCGAUACUGACGCUGAGGUGCGAAAGCGUGGGGAGCAAACAGG
rnacentral:rRNA from 1 species